rnacentral:rRNA from 1 species
AUUGAACGCUGGCGGUAUGCUUAACACAUGCAAGUCGAACGGUAACAGGCCUUCGGGCGCUGACGAGUGGCGGACGGGUGAGUAACGCGUAGGAAUCUGCCUUAUAGUGGGGGACAACGUGGGGAAACUCACGCUAAUACCGCAUACGCCCUACGGGGAAAGCGGGGGAUCGUAAGACCUCGCGCUAUGAGAUGAGCCUGCGUUAGAUUAGCUAGUUGGUAGGGUAAAGGCCUACCAAGGCGACGAUCUAUAGCUGGUCUGAGAGGACGAUCAGCCACACUGGGACUGAGACACGGCCCAGACUCCUACGGGAGGCAGCAGUGGGGAAUAUUGGACAAUGGGCGCAAGCCUGAUCCAGCAAUACCGCGUGUGUGAAGAAGGCCUUAGGGUUGUAAAGCACUUUCAAUGGGGAGGAAAACCUGCCGGUCAAUACCCGGUAGCUUGACAUUACCUAUAGAAGAAGCACCGGCUAACUCCGUGCCAGCAGCCGCGGUAA